rnacentral:rRNA from 1 species
CCUACGGGGGGCUGCAGUGAGGAAUAUUGGUCAAUGGCCGAGAGGCUGAACCAGCCAAGUCGCGUGAGGGAAGACGGCCCUACGGGUUGUAAACCUCUUUUGUCGGGGAGCAAAGCGAGUCACGUGUGAAUCAUUGAGAGUACCCGAAGAAAAAGCAUCGGCUAACUCCGUGCCAGCAGCCGCGGUAAUACGGAGGCUGCGAGCGUUAUCCGGAUUUAUUGGGGUUAAAGGGUGCGCAGGCGGAGGUGCAAGUCAGCGGUCAAAUCGCGGGGCUCAACCCCGUACUGCCGUUGAAACUGCAUCCCUUGAGUGCGCGAGAGGUAUGCGGAAUGCGUGGUGUAGCGGUGAAAUGCAUAGAUAUCACGCAGAACACCGAUUGCGAAGGCAGCAUACCGGCGCGCAACUGACGCUCAUGCACGAAAGCGUGGGUAUCGAACAGGAUUAGAUACCCCAGUAGUC